GACGAACGCUGGCGGCGUGCCUAAUACGUGCAAGUCGAGCGAAUCAUUAGGAGCUUGCUCCUGAUGGUUAGCGGCGGACGGGUGAGUAACACGUGGGCAACCUGCCUGUAAGACUGGGAUAACACCGGGAAACCGGUGCUAAUACCGGAUAAUUCUUUCCCUCACAUGAGGGAUAGCUGAAAGUCGGCUCUUCGCUGACACUUACAGAUGGGCCCGCGGCGCAUUAGCUAGUUGGUGAGGUAACGGCUCACCAAGGCGACGAUGCGUAGCCGACCUGAGAGGGUGAUCGGCCACACUGGGAAUGAGACACGGCCCAGACUCCUACGGGAGGCAGCAGUAGGGAAUCUUCCGCAAUGGACGAAAGUCUGACGGAGCAACGCCGCGUGAGUGAUGAAGGCCUUCGGGUCGUAAAACUCUGUUGUUAGGGAAGAACAAGUAUCGGAGUAACUGCCGGUACCUUGACGGUACCUAACCAGAAAGCCACGGCUAACUACGUGCCAGCAGCCGCCGUAACAC
rnacentral:rRNA from 1 species